UAUUGACCUUUCUGUCUAUUUAUGCAAUAGUACCACAUUCUCAGUUAUGGAGGCUGUAUGUUUACAGGAGCUCACCUUUAUUUCCCUUUUGUGUGGUUUCCCUAUUUUUUGCAUGUUUAUCUUUCCAUUUGAACAUUCAAAUCAUCUUGUCUGGCUCCAGGAAAAAAAACCUACUUGGCGUUUUUAUGGAGAUGUUGACAUCUUUAUGACGCCGAGCCACCUUGUUCAGGAAGAAGAGGUUUCUGUCAUGUCCCGCAGUGAUGGCUUCAAAAGAAGGUGAAAGAAAGAGACCUAAGGCACUCCACCAGAGGCUCCAACUCCCUAAUGUCCUUCUUUGGAUCAUUUCAUGCAACAAGUUGCAAAUUCACCUGGCCAUCUUCUCAUUCGGCCUAUUUUGUCAUCUCGUACGAGUACUUUAACACGCCAGGGCUCUGACCUCCCGGACACGGUAAGAACUCUGGCUGGUAACCGACUUACCGCAUCCCAACUUGUUUUGCCGUAAAGCCCCAAGCAGCCUAAACCCUUCCUUGAGCUGGAGAAGGAAGACAUCAGCUGAAACAGGAGGCUGCAUUCCUGCUUCUUAAUUAGCACAUCACGCACUUCAAAAUGC